CUUUAGGUGUAAAAGGAAGAGAACGUCUCCUGGACCUAAUUGCCACAAUGCUGGUACUAUAGUUUAUUCGCACCUGGUUGGAAAAAAAGGGAAUAGUGUUCAAAUCACUGAUGGAACUGGAUGACGCUUCUAUUUCCAGGAAUAUUCCCUGGGCUUUUGAGGCAAUAAAGAAAGCAAGUGAAUGGGUAAGAAGAACUGAAGGACAGUACCCAUCUAUCUGCCCACAGCUUGAACUGGGGAAUGACUGGGACUCUGCCACCAAGCAGUUGCUGGGACUCCAGCCCAUAAACACUGUGUCCCCUCUUCAUAGAGUCCUCCAUUACAGUCAAGGCUAAGUCAAAUGAAACUGAAUUUUAAACUUUUUGCAUGCUUCUAUGUAGAAAAUAAUCAAAUGAUAAUAGAUACUUAUAAUGAAACUGGAUUAAGGUUUUAUUCAGUGUAGCAAUUAGUGUCUUUAAAAAUAAAGUGGAAGCCGAAUUACUUUAAUCAACUAACAAGCAAUAAUGAAACUUAAAAUA